UGAGGCCGUUUGAGUUCUGUUGUACUCCAAUA
rnacentral:piRNA from 1 species